rnacentral:rRNA from 1 species
GUAUAAAAGGAGGUUAAAGAGUUAAUAUUUCGGAGAAGAUUAAUUUAGUAUGAAGAGGUGGAAUUCGUACAUAUUAAGUUAUAUUAUUGCUUUUUGUUAUUUGAUUCCUCGAAAAUUAGUUGGAAGACCGGGAUUAGAUACCCCGUUAUUUUUUUUGUAAAUUUUGAUUUUUGGUUGAUUUACCGGAGUAUUACGGGUUAAAAUAUUUCUGUGGCUGCGUAAGUUAUAGGUUAUUUAGAUACUUAAAACUCAAAAAACUUGGCGGUGCCUUAUUUCCUCCCAGGGGAACCUGUCCUGUAAUCGAUGAUCCGCGAUUUAUCUUACUUUUUUUUGAACGCUAUUAAUUGGUUAUCAGUUUGUAUACCGUCGUCGUCAGAUUACCUUUAAGAGUAAAGAAGUUGUCGGUUGAAUUAGGAAUUUUGUUUGCUUUAGUUUUAAGGUUAUUUGCAAAAUCGAUUUUUGAUGUCAGAUCAAGGUGCAGCUAAUAAAAAAGUAGAGAUGGGUUACAAUGUAAAUUUUAUAUUAUGGAUAUUAACUUGAAAAAGUUAAGUGAAAGUGGACUUGGAAGUAAUUUUAUUUUUGUGUAUGUAAAUUAGAAAGUUUAUGUGAAAAAAGGUACUAAGGUGCGC